GUCCAAGUGAUCUUGUUGUUCAGUUCCCACCUAUGAGUGAGAACAUGCGGUGUUUGGUUUUCUGUUCUUGUGAUAGUUUGCUAAGAAUGAUGGUUUAUUGCGGCACUAUUCACAAUAGCAAAGACUUGGAAUCAGCCCAAAUGUCCAUCAGUGACAGACUGGAUUAAGAAAAUGUGGCACAUAUACACCAUGGAAUACUAUGCAGCCAUAAAAAAGGAUGAGUUUGUGUCCUUUGUAGGGACAUGGAUGCAGCUGGAAAGCACAUUCUGUUUCUAGGGCAGCAUGACAACAGAGCCCCAACUGUCAGGCCAUUCUCCCUAUCUCAGCAUGUUACGUACCCAGCCGUUCUAGUGAUUAUUGAGAACUACAGGCAAGAAGGGCGCUGGGAGAAGGUCAGUUGGAUGCCUUCUGGAGAACUGUCCUUCCAAGGUGGAGUUUCCUUGCAAGAAUCCAUAAUGAUGAAAACCUCCAACCUCAAGAGUAGAAAUAGAAACAAAGAGAAAUAAUUUUCCUUGGUUGGCUCUCUACAUGGAUGGCAGAACACCAGACACCUGUCUAAAAAUCAAGGAGGCCUCCUGAAGUCGAGCAGAGGAAAGGAGACAAGCUCAGUGUCUGAACAUCUCCUUUUGUUACAUCCUCCACUGUCGUUUAAUUAUGAUCAAACCAGCUGGCAUUAAACUUCAAAAUAAAGCAGAAUAACACAGCUUCUUUAAUUUGGCACUUAAAAAAAGAGGUGCUCCAGGGACCGCACAACUCUGACCUCUGCAGAGCCGGUAAGCCUGCACCAUGCCUCGCUGGCUUUUCCUGUGACCUGUAGCCUUUCUAUUGUGCUACCUGACCUCCAGAUCUGUAACCCAGGUGCCCUGCUUCCCCUCUGUUCUGACCAGCUCAGUCCCUAAGCCUCAGUGAGACAGUGGGGGCUAAAGGCAUCUAAAACUGAAGCUGCUUUCAGUAAUUGAUCAUCUUAUCUACUUCAUUGAACUUCAUUUAUUUUAGCAGAAUCUGUCUUCAUUUUUUUCUACUCAGCAUGAGGCAUUUGAAUUUCGCCCCUCACCUCUUUCAGCCCUAUUUCUGUUAUGUAUUUCCUGAGUAUUAUAAUGCUUAUCAUCUGUUGCUUUUCGACAAGGUGACUCUUGAACCAUCCCCAG
rnacentral:lncRNA from 1 species